UUUAGUUAGAUUUUGUAAAAUAUUAGUUAGAGUAUUAUUUUUUAUAUUAAUUAGUUUUUCUAAAUAUUAAUUAGUAUUAAAUAUUAGUUAGUUUAGAAAUUAUUAGUUAGUUUUUAAAAAAAAAANUUUGUUUAGUUAGAUUUUGUAAAAUAUUAGUUAGAGUAUUAUUUUUUAUAUUAAUUAGUUUUUCUAAAUAUUAAUUAGUAUUAAAUAUUAGUUAGUUUAGAAAUUAUUAGUUAGUUUUUAAAAAAAAUGAUAUUUAGAGUUUUUAAGAUAUUAAUUAGUUUUUUUUAGUAUUAAUUAGUUUUUUUGAUUUAUAGUAAAUAAUAAUUUGUAAUAGUAAAAUAUAUGUAUAUCUACAUUGGAUUCCAAAAAAACAAAAUUCAAAAUGUCCCAACGUCUCUCUCCAUCCACUCCCAACAGACCCUGCUCCACUACCUCUCCUCUCUCUCGUACCAGAAAAGACAAAAAAAGAAAAUAGAUAAAUGGGAACGUUACUCCUCACUCUCUCGACUCAUUCAUUCAAAAGCUGUCUGAAAAGCAAAAACAGAAGAAAAAACCCACUCCCUCAUUUUUCACUAUUGACUCCGUCUCUCUCGCCUCUCUUACAAUCCACUCAAAAUCGCCCACCCUCUCCUUCAACAACCGCCGCUCACCAAUCCAAACCCUCGCCGCCGUCGUCACUGUACACCCUCCACCUUUUCAAAACUCCUCCCACGGCCAACCCCUAAUCCUCUUCAUCCGCCGCCGUCCACUGCCACAAAACCUCCUAACGACCCAAAUCCGCCUCGCCACCACAAACCUCCGCCCUUCACCGUCAAACCCUUAAAACCCAGCUCAGCCGUCAAUCCCUCACCCUCCGCCCCUCCAUCAAUACUUCCGUCAUCUUCCUCGCAUCACCACUCCCAAACCCAUCGUCGAAACCCGG
rnacentral:lncRNA from 1 species